rnacentral:rRNA from 1 species
CCUACGGGAGGCAGCAGUGAGGAAUAUUGGUCAAUGGCCGUAGGGCUGAACCAGCCAAGUCGCGUGAAGGAAGAAGGAUCUAUGGUUUGUAAACUUCUUUUAUAGGGGAAUAAUAGUAUCCACGUGUGGAUAUUUGCAUGUACCCUAUGAAUAAGCAUCGGCUAACUCCGUGCCAGCAGCCGCGGUAAUACGGAGGAUGCGAGCGUUAUCCGGAUUUAUUGGGUUUAAAGGGUGCGUAGGUUGUUUUUUAAGUUAGCGGUGAAAGUGUGGGGCUCAAACAUAAAAUUGCCGUUGAAACUGGAGUACUUGAGUAUGUUUGAGGUAGGCGGAAUGCGUGAAGUAGCGGUGAAAUGCUUAGAUAUAACGUAGAACCCCGAUAGCGAAGGCAGCUUACUAGGCCAUAACUGACGCUGAAGCACGAGAGCGUGGGGAGCGAACAGGAUUAGAUACCCGUGUAGUC